AGCAUUGAGAGGAUCUUUCCCGGGAAGGACGCACCUCUGGUGUACCAGUUAUCAUGCCCACAGUAAACGUUGAGUAGCCAAGUGCAGAGCAGAUAACUGUUGAAAGCAUCUAAGUAGUAAGCUCACCCCAAGAUGAAUGCU
rnacentral:ncRNA from 1 species